GGAGCGGUAGUGCAGUCGGUGGCAACACCGAUGUGUCACGCCGGGGGUCGCGGGUUCGAGCCCGGUCCGCUCCGCCA
rnacentral:tRNA from 1 species